AUCAGUAAAACACAUAUAGGGGCCACUUCGGGAUUUGCCCAGGGAAGGGUUGGAGAGCAGCUGGCUGCGGUAAUCUCCUCGGGAGACAAAGGAAUGCCCCGUCCCAGGAUCACAGAUUAAAAGAUCCGCGUUGAUAUAUCACUUCUCGCCUCCACCGACGGGCCACCACCCAAAUUUCAAGGCAAAUAUUGCCGCUCACCCCCGCCCCCCCCCCGCCCCACUCGCUUAGUAAACCCCAUACGAAGUGAUGUUUUCCCCCUCUCUCUCUUUUUCCCGGGGAUAACGCCGCAGCAAAGUUUGCGAAGCAGCGACAAACCACUUGAAAAGAUGUUGACGCUAGGUGGCAAAAGUAAUGUGCAGUGAAAACCGGCGCUGCUGCGGGAUGCGCCCCCCCGCUCCCCGCUGCCGAGGCUGGGCACGGCGGGGGCGGGCGGCCGGGCCUCCGGGGAUCCGCCGUCCGCUCCGCUCCCCUCCGUCCUGCGCCGCCUUCCCUACGUCUCCGCACUGUGCCUGCGGGAUCGCUGGUCUGCUCUCUGCCCGGAGCAACUCCGGGGUAAAAAAAAAAAAAAAUCAAACCCAAACAUUCCUGUACAUUUAAACUUUUGCUUAUGCGUCGAGGGGCGGAGAGAGGAGAGAAGAAGAGCACCUGAAUGUAGAUGGCUCGUUCGACUACAGCUAGAUGUAAAGGACACGCGUUGAGUGGCAAAAGGUUGCAAAGAUCUGGAUGCUUGUUCCGAGGUUUGGAUUAGGUGGCCUGGGUUUGGGGUAGGUGCCACAAACCCCUAGUAAAUGAAUGUGGGCAGCUACAGUCCUGGAACAGUCGAGAAGAGCUGGGCUGAAUGAACUCAUUAGUGAUUUUCUUUUAAUUGGUAUUACUCAAUGCUUUUACUUUAAGAAGUCUUUAAGAUUUUUUUUUUUCCUAGCGCAUUGUAAGAUAAUUUGUGAUCAAGACAUCUGCUUCAAUGGAAGUCACAUUUUGCCAUGCAAAUGCACGUUUCAACCCAAUAAAGUCGCCAUAAUAAGGCUUUUAGCACGGCAUACCUACAGUGAGGUUAUUGUAGCCAAAUCCUCUCCUUUCGCACACAAGCUUAAUCUGUGCUGAAAUGAUCUGUUACAAUUAAAAUGACAUUUACAGAGACAGUUACACCUUGCAUCCUAAUGAAUCCGCCUGCGCCUACCAAAGGUGUUUAAACAGAGGGCCUAAACAAAGUGGAAAACCCUGCUUCGAGUGACAUGCCAGAGUCGCCCUCCAACUUUUAUCCCCUGCUUCCAUCCAUCAUUAAGAAACUGCUCAAAUGGUAAUAGCCUCUAUCCCUUUUUCACCGCACCGGUAAACUCCUUUCCAUGUUUUAAAGAUCAAAACAAAAGUUGUACUGUCUGAUGGAUAUGUAAAAAAAUUAUAAAGGUGAUGAUUGGUGUAAA